GUCCUUGUAGAGACAUUAUUGCAUCUCUGUUGCAUUUCCUCCAUUUUUUCCUGCAUUACUUCUCACAGCCCGAGAGACUGCCCAGCAGAGCAGUGUGGGAGAGAAGAAAGAGGAAGAGGAGGAGGAAGAUCUGUCUUUAGCCUACGCCGCCAGAGGUUUUGCCAGAUAUCCAAUGGUGGGUUACAUCUAUAAGGUGAACAGCACAAGCAGUGAAGAAAUCUGGCUGUGACUGAUCUGAAACUACCAUACAAACACACAUACAUGCAUGAAGAAUACUUACAUCAGUGCAGCUGUCCUUCAGGUCACUCAGAACAACUGCCAGUCAGUCCGUCAGUUACUUUUGAGCUGGAUCAGGUUGACACAAAGGUCAUUCUGUCCAUUUCUGGACCACAUACACUAAACAUACUGUUACUACUAAUACUGUUUCUCUGAU